AUGCAAGUCGAGCGAUGGAUUAAGAGCUUGCUCUUAUGAAGUUAGCGGCGGACGGGUGAGUAACACGUGGGUAACCUGCCCAUAAGACUGGGAUAACUCCGGGAAACCGGGGCUAAUACCGGAUAACAUUUUGAACCGCAUGGUUCGAAAUUGAAAGGCGGCUUCGGCUGUCACUUAUGGAUGGACCCGCGUCGCAUUAGCUAGUUGGUGAGGUAACGGCUCACCAAGGCAACGAUGCGUAGCCGACCUGAGAGGGUGAUCGGCCACACUGGGACUGAGACACGGCCCAGACUCCUACGGGAGGCAGCAGUAGGGAAUCUUCCGCAAUGGACGAAAGUCUGACGGAGCAACGCCGCGUGAGUGAUGAAGGCUUUCGGGUCGUAAAACUCUGUUGUUAGGGAAGAACAAGUGCUAGUUGAAUAAGCUGGCACCUUGACGGUACCUAACCAGAAAGCCACGGCUAACUACGUGCCAGCAGCCGCGGUAAUACGUAGGUGGCAAGCGUUAUCCGGAAUUAUUGGGCGUAAAGCGCGCGCAGGUGGUUUCUUAAGUCUGAUGUGAAAGCCCACGGCUCAACCGUGGAGGGUCAUUGGAAACUGGGAGACUUGAGUGCAGAAGAGGAAAGUGGAAUUCCAUGUGUAGCGG
rnacentral:rRNA from 1 species